AUGGAGGAAGAUGGGGGUGGGGGGAAGAGGGGAGGGAGAAGGAAAAAAGAGGGGGCUGAUAAGUGGGGAAGGAGGAGGGAGAGAAAGAAAAAGAGAGAGAGAGAGAGAGAGAGAGAGAGAGAGAGAGAGAGAGAGAGAGAGAGAGAGAGAGAGAGAGAGAGAGAGAGAAAGAAAAAGAAAAAGAAAGGAAGAAAGAAGGAAAGAGAAAGAGAGAAAGAAAGGAAGAAAGAGAAAGGAAAGAAAGAAAGAAAGAAAGAAAGAAAGAAAGAAAGAAAGAAAGAAAGAAAGAAAGAAAGAAAGAAAGAAAGAAAGAAAGAAAGAAAGAAAGAGAGAGAGAAAGAAAGAAAGAUAAAGAGGAAAAGAAAGAUAAAGAAAGACAGAUAAAGAAAGAAAGAAAGAAAGAAAGAAAGAAAGAAAGAAAGGAAGGAAGGAAGGAAGGAAGGAAGGAAGGAAGGAAGGAAGGAAGAAAGAAAGAAAGAAAGAAAGAAAGAAAGAAAGAAAGAAAGAAAGAAAGAAAGAAAGAAAGAAAGAAAGAAAGAAAGAAAGAAAGAAAGAAAGAAAGAAAGAAAGAAAGAAAGAAAGAAAGAAAGAAAGAAAGAAAGAAAGAAAGAAAGAGAAAAAGAAAGAUGCUGUGAGUUGUCAGGGGUAGCCCUAGGAUUCUGCAUUGGAAAUGUAUAUAGCCAGGCUCUGGCUCAUAUGUGCUAAGAGAGUAAGCUCAUAACUUGCUAUGUUUAUAUCAUGUUAUUUUUCAUAGUAGAAUAUAAGCUCCUUGAGGACAUGGGUUGUUUGAUUUUUUUUUACCCUCAGUGCCUACCCUAGUGUUAGUGGAAGGUGCUUAAUAAGUAUGGAUUGUUGAUUAAUGCUCUACUGUUUUUUUAAACCUUUACUUUCUGUUUUAAAAUCAAUACUGUAUAUUGGUUCUAAAGUGGAGAGCAGUAAGGGCUAAACAAUGGGGGUAAAGUGACUUGCUCAGGGUCACACAGUUAGAAAGUGUCUGAGGCGAGAUUUGAACACAAGACCUCCUGUCUCUCAAUCCAAGUCACCCAGCUGCCCCCAGUGCUCUUCUUCAUUUAUCUCUCUAUAGCAACCAAACUUUAGACAAGGGAAAAAUGAAAACAUUGAUCUGAAAAUGGCUCCUUUAUUAACCUUGAUGAUCCUUCCAGGAUAGCACAAUGUCUUGCAAUGAAUUUUUAAAGCCAUCUCAAAAUCUCAGUAUAUUCAGCUGGGCUCUCUGAUCAGAAGGAACAAGGACAUAAAAGUUGUCUUUUCUUUUUUGAAUGUUUAGUUCUGUUGAUAUUCUGGUGGCCUUUGGCAGCCCUAUGCACAUUAGACACUCUGCAAAUAUGAAAUCCCAAGGAAAAGCCCAGAGUAAAUGUUUGUGUGUUUACCAUACUCUAAUUGCCAGCAUGUUUGAGGCAGAGAUUCAUAUCCUGGACAGAUUUUAGGGGGUCUGUAAAAAAAUUGGUUGGAAAAAUUGCAACUUUAUUUCAAUAAAAUGGGUUUCCUUUCUAUAAUCUUAUGCA
rnacentral:lncRNA from 1 species